GCUUAACAUCAAGAAGGUUUGUUUGAUUCAGCUCGGAAAUGUAUCCGUAAUAGAUAAUACGAGAGAAGGAGAUCCCGAUCCACCCUCAUGGUGGUAUUCUUUCUUGUUUUUAUGCCCCUUUUUAUGGGGCGGGGAUCUCUGCAGCAUUGGUUUGAUGGAAGGUCAAUAGGAGUCCUCGAACUUUUUCACUCUUGUAUAGAGGCGAGAAAGCUCUAUUAAGAUUAGAAGACCGUACGGAGCUUUUUUUUUACCAACCCAAAGAGAAUAGAUUUAACUAUUAAGGAAUAACAACAAUUUCCAUGAGUUGGUAGUUUCGGUUGGGGUGACCUCGGAGAAUAAAAAAUCCUCCGAGCGAUUUUAAAGACUAGACCCACAAGUCAAAUCACUCUAUCGCUCAUUGAUCCAAAAACUUGAUCAACGGAACAAGUUACCCUAGGGAUAACAGCGCAAUCCUAUUCAAGAGUCCAUAUCGACAAUAGGGUUUACGACCUCGAUGUUGGAUCAGGACAUCCUGAUGGUGCAACCGCUAUCAAAGGUCGUGUCACGAU
rnacentral:rRNA from 1 species